AACGAACGCUGACGGCAGGCUUAACACAUGCAAGUCGAGCGCAUCCUUCGGGGUGAGCGGCAGACGGGUGAGUAACGCGUGGGAACGUACCCUUUCCUACGGAAUAGCUCCGGGAAACUGGAAUUAAUACCGUAUACGCCCUAGGGGGAAAGAUUUAUCGGGGAAGGAUCGGCCCGCGUGGGAUUAGCUAGUUGGUGGGGUAAAGGCCUACCAAGGCGACGAUCCAUAGCUGGUCUGAGAGGAUGAUACGCCACACUGGGACUGAGACACGGCCCACACUCCUCCGGGAGGCAGCAGUGGGGAAUAUUGGACAAUGGGCGCAAGCCUGAUCCAGCCAUGCCGCGUGAGUGAUGAAGGCCUUAGGGUUGUAAAGCUCUUUCAGUAGGGAAGAUAAUGACGGUACCUACAGAAGAAGCCCCGGCUAACUUCGUGCCAGCCGCCGCGGUAA
rnacentral:rRNA from 1 species